rnacentral:rRNA from 1 species
UACAGAGGGGGCAAGCGUUGUUCGGAAUUACUGGGCGUAAAGGGCGCGUAGGCGGCCUGCUAAGUCGAACGUGAAAUCCCCGGGCUCAACCCGGGAACUGCGUCCGAUACUGGUUGGCUUGAAUCCGGGAGAGGGAUGCGGAAUUCCAGGUGUAGCGGUGAAAUGCGUAGAUAUCUGGAGGAACACCGGUGGCGAAGGCGGCAUCCUGGACCGGCAUUGACGCUGAGGCGCGAAAGCCAGGGGAGCAA